rnacentral:rRNA from 1 species
AGUCAACCUACCCUAUGGACGGGAAUAACCACGGGAAACUGAGAAUAAUGCCCGAUAGAACAUUAUGCCUGGAAUGGUUUAUGUUCCAAAUGAUUCAUCGCCGUAGGAUGGGACUGCGGCCUAUCAGUUUGUUGGUGAGGUAAUGGCCCACCAAGACUAUUACAGGUACGGGCUCUGAGAGGAGUAGCCCGGAGAUGGGUACUGAGACACGGACCCAGGCCCUAUGGGGCGCAGCAGGCGAGAAAACUUUGCAAUGUGCGAAAGCACGACAAGGUUAAUCCGAGUGGUUUCUGCUAAAGGAACCUUUUGUCGGUCCUAGAAACACCGAUGAAUAAGGGGUGGGCAAGUUCUGGUGUCAGCCGCCGCGGUAAAACCAGCACCUCAAGUGGUCAGGAUGAUUAUUGGGCCUAAAGCAUCCGUAGCCUGCUUUGUAAGUUUUCGGUUAAAUCCAUGUGCUCAACACAUGGGCUGCCGGGAAUACUGCACAGCUAGGGAGUGGGAGAGGUAGACGGUACUUGAUAGGAAGGGGUAAAAUCCUUUGAUCUAUUGAUGACCACCUGUGGCGAAGGCGGUCUACCAGAACACGUCCGACGGUGAGGGAUGAAAGCUGGGGGAGCAAACCGGAUUAGAUACCCGGGUAGUCCCAGCUGUAAACUAUGCAAACUCAGUGAUGCAUUGGCUUGUGGCUAAUGCAGUGCU